rnacentral:rRNA from 1 species
GACGAACGCUGGCGGCGUGCCUAAUACAUGCAAGUUGAGCGCUGAAGGUUGGUACUUGUACCAACUGGAUGAGCAGCGAACGGGUGAGUAACGCGUGGGGAAUCUGCCUUUGAGCGGGGGACAACAUUUGGAAACGAAUGCUAAUACCGCAUAAAAACUUUAAACACAAGUUUUAAGUUUGAAAGAUGCAAUUGCAUCACUCAAAGAUGAUCCCGCGUUGUAUUAGCUAGUUGGUGAGGUAAAGGCUCACCAAGGCGAUGAUACAUAGCCGACCUGAGAGGGGGAUCGGCCACAUUGGGACUGAGACACGGCCCAAACUCCUACGGGAGGCAGCAGUAGGGAAUCUUCGGCAAUGGACGAAAGUCUGACCGAGCAACGCCGCGUGAGUGAAGAAGGUUUUCGGAUCGUAAAACUCUGUUGGUGGAGAAGAACGUUGGUGAGAGUGGAAAGCUCAUCAAGUGACGGUAACUACCCAGAAAGGGACGGCUAACUACGUG